rnacentral:rRNA from 1 species
UACGUAGGGGGCAAGCGUUGUCCGGAUUUACUGGGCGUAAAGCGCGCGUAGGUGGAACGAUCAGUCCGGUCUGAAAGCCCCCGGCUCAACCGGGGAGGGUGGCUGGAAACUGUCGUUCUUGAGGGCGAGAGAGGAGGGUGGAAUUCCUGGUGUAGCGGUGAAAUGCGUAGAGAUCAGGAGGAACACCCGUGGCGAAGGCGGCCCUCUGGCUCGACCCUGACGCUGAGGCGCGAAAGCGUGGGGAGCGAACGGG